UACAGAGGGUGCGAGCGUUAAUCGGAAUUACUGGGCGUAAAGCGUGCGUAGACGGUUAUCUAAGUCGGAUGUGAAAGCCCCGGGCUCAACCUGGGAAUUGCAUUCGAGACUGAAUAGCUAGGGUGCGGUAGAGGGAAGCGGAAUUUCCGGUGUAGCGGUGAAAUGCGUAGAUAUCUGGAGGAACACCGGUGGCGAAGGCGACGUCCUGGACCGGCAUUGACGCUGAGGCGCGAAAGCCAGGGGAGCAAACGGG
rnacentral:rRNA from 1 species